GAUGAACGCUAGCUACAGGCUUAACACAUGCAAGUCGAGGGGAAACGACAUCGAAAGCUUGCUUUUGAUGGGCGUCUACCGGCGCACGGGUGAGUAACGCGUAUCCAACCUGCCCAUCACUUGGGAAUAACCUUGCGAAAGUAAGACUAAUACCCAAUGAUAUCCCACGAAGGCAUCGGAAUGGGAUUAAAGAUUUAUCGGUGAUGGAUGGGGAUGCGUCUGAUUAGCUUGUUGGCGGGGUAACGGCCCACCAAGGCAACGAUCAGUAGGGGUUCUGAGAGGAAGGUCCCCCACAUUGGAACUGAGACACGGUCCAAACUCCUACGGGAGGCAGCAGUGAGGAAUAUUGGUCAAUGGGCGAGAGCCUGAACCAGCCAAGUAGCGUGCAGGAAGACGGCCCUAUGGGUUGUAAACUGCUUUUAUAAGGGAAUAAAGUGGGUCACGUGUGACUUUUUGCAUGUACCUUAUGAAUAAGGACCGGCUAAUUCCGUG
rnacentral:rRNA from 1 species